UAGAGAGAAGAGAGUUUAAUCGACUCUGCAGUAAUGCAGAGAGCCUGCACAGGUGCUGCAUGGCUGUCGUCAGCUCGUGUCGCGAGAUGUUGGGUUAAGUCCGCAACGAGCGCAACCCUUAUUGCCAGUUGCUAACAGGAGAGCUGAGCACUCUGGCGAGACUGCCGCCGACAAGGCGGAGGAAGGUGGGGAUGACGUCAAGUCAUCAUGGCCUUUAUGCCCAGGGCUACACACGUGCUACAAUGGCCGGCACAGACGGCAGCUUAGUGGCGACACUUGGCAAAUCCUCUAAAGCCGGUCCCAGUUCGGAUUGCAGUCUGCAACUCGACUGCAUGAAGCCGGAAUCGCUAGUAAUCGCAGAUCAGCCAAGCUGCGGUGAAUACGUUCCCGGGCCUU
rnacentral:rRNA from 1 species